CAGGUUGUGAGGUGCUGCCUGGAGCAUGCCGCAUCGGUGGCGAAAACAUUCAUCACCUCGGACGCCGUCGUGGUCGACAUCAAGGAAUCUGAGAAGGCGCCUGCCGCAAACCCAAUGGCCGGUUCAGGUAUGCAGAGACUUGUUUAG
rnacentral:rRNA from 1 species